rnacentral:lncRNA from 1 species
GCUGUGCGGGGAGAAUAGUGGGAGCUGAGGCAUGGGGCACAGGGUUUUAUAAAGAGAGCAUGAUCUAAGGGAUGCAGUGUUGUUGUGUCUUAACAAUUUAGCUUGGUUCUAACAUUGUCUACUGGAGAUGGCAUCAGAACCAACAAAUUCUGGAGUGUCUCAGGAUUGCCCCGCCCCCACCUCCGCUUCAGACCGACUGCAGAUAAUGGUUGUGAAUCACCAUGUGGUUGCUGGGAAUUGAACUCAGGACCUCUGGAAGAGCAGUCAUUGCGCUUAACCACUGAGCCAUAUCUCCAGCCACCUGACGUGAACUCUUCAGCGACAGGCUAGCCUCUGCCUCUUGAGUGCUGGGAUUAAAGCUUCAGUUCGGUGCAGCUCCUGAUGGUACAGGGACCAGUUUACAGCUGGCUCCAAGCAUCAGCUGACAAGAGGAUCCAACCUAGCAUUGUCACGGAUCUUAAAUGAAGCCAACACGUUAGCAAACCAGGUGGUUUGGAGUUGGGCCGUAUCAGAUGCCCAGAGGAAGGACACAAAUCACCAUGCCUCUGUAACCAGCAUGCCACAGGACCUGAGGAGAGUACAGCUAGCAUUAUUUUAAAGAUACAGACAACAUCAACCGAUGGGAAAUAUCCUGUGUACACUUCAAGGACUGUUCCCACAGGCAAGAGAAGCUGGCCUGCUGCAUGCACACCAUGUGCAAACAGACCAGCCCUUCCUCAGCUCUCCUGCUCCUCUCUGUCUAAACAUUGUUGAAGCUUUGUUUUGGGGUUGAGUGGCUUAAAGACUGUAACCAUGGUCACUAACAACAGGGAUACAUCUUUGUGAGCGUAUCGUUGAGUGUGCUUUCGUAAGCCUCAAUGGUAUGAGCUAAUUUACUCUAUGACAUGGCCUCUUGUGCAACCAGCAACUGUAAAUGCAGCAUCAGGAGGCUGCUGCUGGCCUAACAUGACAAACUUUUAAGUAAACUCCUUUUGAUC